GGUGGGACAUACUGCUGCGAAAAGCGUUUGGCAGGAAUACCCAUUGAUCAAGGACGAAAGUUAGGGGAUCGAAGACGAUUAGAUACCGUCGUAGUCUUAACCAUAAACGAUGCCAUCUAAGAGAUGGUGUAUUGAAUUUUAUAAUCGUACAUCCUUUUUUUCCGGGAAACCAAAGCUUUUGGGUUCUGGGGGGAGUAUGGUCGCAAGUCUGAAACUUAAAGGAAUUGACGGAAGGGCACCACCAGGAGUGGAGCCUGCGGCUUAAUUUGACUCAACACGGGGCAACUUACCAGGUCCGGACAUUUUUAUGAUUGACAGAUUGAUAGCUCUUUCUUGAUUGAAUGGGUGGUGGUGCAUGGCCGUUCUUAGUUGGUGGAGUGAUUUGUCUGGUUAAUUCCGUUAACGAACGAGACCUUUUCCUGCUAACUAGUUUUAUUUAUUUUCUUUGAAAGGAGAUGGAUAAACUUCUUAGAGGUACUAUUCGUUUUUCACGGAUGGAAGUUGUAGGCAAUAACAGGUCUGUGAUGCCCUUUGAUGUCCUGGGCUGCACGCGGGCUACACUGAUGCAUUCAAAGAGUAUUUUUUUACCUACUCUGACAAGAGUUAGUUUAAUCUUUCAAAUUGCAUCGAGCUUGCUAUUGAAUUCUGUAACUGUAUUCAUGAACGAAGAAUUACUUGUAUACACAAGUCAUCAACUUGCGUUGAUUACUACCCUGCCCUUUACUUAAA
rnacentral:rRNA from 1 species